AGCGCAGACGGCGAAGCAAGUCUGAAGUGAAAUGCAUGGGCUCAACCCAUGAAUUGCUUUGGAAACUGUUUGGCUUGAGUGUCGGAGGGUAAGCGGAAUUCCUAGUGUAGCGGUGAAAUGCGUAGAUAUUAGGAGGAACACCGGAGGCGAAGGCGGCUUACUGGACGACAACUGACGUUGAGGCUCGAAGGCGUGGGGAGCAAACA
rnacentral:rRNA from 1 species